CACGUAUCACCUGUAAAGCUGAACUGUUUCAUUUAUAAAAUUAACGGUAUUAAACAUUCAAGUACACAGGUUGCGGCAGACACAUAUAAACACAUACACAUAUCUAUAAUAAUCUUGUUGAGGGUAGCUGAAUUUUAGGACUGUUGGAUAACUAGAAUGAAACUCUACCCCUUGCUGCUAUACAAUAGUUUAAGUUACAGUGCCAGGUUGAGUUUUGUUAUAUGCUGUUUGAUCCUCACUGCACCGAUGCAUGUAUGUUGCAUUUAUAAUUUAUACCAGACAAGAGUUUAAGGUAGCCACCACAUGUACCUUUUCUGUGAAGUUUGUGUGCACAGGUGAACCGUCUCUUCUGGGAAGCGCAAUUCUGGAGUUGCAGAAGGUUACUUCCCCUGAAUUGGGAAACCCCAAGGAAGAUCUUUAUUUAAGUCAUCUAGUAUGUUCAAGACAAACCAUUGAAGCUGACAUACACUUGGGUCUCUCGAAGGCAAUUUUCACUUCAGUUAGUGCUUGGUGUGAUGAUAAACUUCAGGACUACCAUCUACACUUUGGUAAGGUCAGUUCUCAAUUUAUGAUAACGUCCUAAUUUAUUUACAUGAUUUUUCGUAUUCUUUUCAAAUUUGCUGGCCAAAAAUUCUUUUAUCUAUCUCUGGUUAGCAUGCAGUUCUUCUGCCAUAAAUUAUUCUCUUUUCCGCGUAGUCAAGAUCAUUGGAUUUUUGCUACAUCCUAACUGAUCAAAAGAAAGACUUGUUUUCAUCUCUGUUGUAACUUGUAUCAUCAUGUCGAAUUUGUUUUGGCUAUUCUUUCAUGACAUAAUAAACAUUGUUUUUCUAAAAAGCUUCUUCAUCUUCUAUGUCUCCUCAGAACCCUCGUGAUUUUGGAAUGCUUGUAAGCUUGGCAUCAACAGUUGGACUUCCUCCAACUGACUGUACCAGAACUGAGGUUGGUGUUUCUGAUGUUCUCUCUCCUACAUAAAUUUCCAUUUUUGCACAGUAUUUUAUUUCUGUAUAUUUUACAUCUGUUGACUUAUGAAUAUUUAGUUGAAGUUAACAUGUCUUGUACGAGCGCUGCAUGCCGAAAUUCUCCCCCUUCCUAGCAGUUUAAAACUAGCUUUUUCAUCUUGAUGUUGACAUUUGCGUAAUUUUCAUGUGCUUUUCUGCAGUAUUAUUAACUUGCCAGGAGUUGACAUUUUUCUGGCAUGAGUAUAAGUUUUUUGCAUUAAGUGUUUGGCUGUAAUAAGAAAAGCAUUCUUAGUUGGGUAUGGAAAGAGGAAAUGCGUAUAUAUUAUCUAGUGUGUGCUUGGAGGAAUACUCGGAUGAUCAUUGUUGAUAAAUAUCAGUUGCUCUUGCAGCUUAUCAAUCUGGAUACCUUGAGUGAUGAUGUUGGUGAUAAGAUACAAUCCUAUGUGCAGAACUCUAUUAAAGGUGCAUGUGCCAGGGUGAGCUUUUGUCCUUUUACUUGUUUUGCUAUAUUGUAUGAGGCACUUCUGUUAUUUCUCUAUCUUAUGAUGUACACAUAUACAUAAUGUCGGUGUUCUUAGGCUGCACAUUUUGCAUAUGUGAAAUCUCAUGGUGAACGCACGCAUGCUCUAGCUCUGCUUGCAAAUGAACUGAGCGUCAUCGCAAAGGCAGAGAUCAAUGAAUUUGUCCCAGUUUUCUCCAAAUGGUUACCCGAAUGUAUGAUGAUUUCGGCCAUGCUGCUGCAUCGGUUUUAUGGAGAAAGACUGGUUUGUCCCUAAGCAUUUUUAGUACUUAAAGAGAAUUUAGUUUGUCUCUGCUAUAUAUAUAUAUAUAUAUAUAUAUAUAUAUAUAUUUAUGAUUGAUCUUUUGUUCUACUGGAACAGACGCCUUUCCUUGAAGGAGUUUCAUCCCUCUCUGGUGAUGUUAGAAAAGUAGUUCCUGCUGCUUAUAUGUUAGAGGAAGCCUUAACUCAACUGUAUGAUUGUCAUAGCAAACUCAAGUUGCACAAACCUUACCUCCACAAGUUGAAGAAUUACGAGGUCAUUGAAUAGAUAUUUCUUAUACGAAUUGAUUUUGAGAACACAAUUAUAUCACUACUCAGUUUUAUUGUUCCUUAAAUAAGUCAUAUAAGAAACUAUUCAUAUUUGUUUAUUUGCAGAUAGAAAAGGCUGUCAAACCAGUAAUGCUGGACUGGCUUAUCUCUCAACAUGAUCAUAUCUUGCAAUGGACUAAGCGAGCUUUUGAAAUUGAGGUUAUAUAUUCAUGGCAAAAUAUUCACAUGUUGAUUGCUGUUGACAGUUGAUAUACUUUAAAGUAUGUUCAUAAGGGACACAUUCGAUAAAUUAUUUUAAACCUCAUCUGGUCAUGUGAGAAAUCUUUGAAAAAGCUGCAUUAUAUAUAGUUUUUGAAGCAUAAUAUAUACUGAUAAAGUGAAGCUGGAUCCAGGAAGUCAGAAAAUGUAAAAGACUUCACAUCACUUUUCACAACCAAACAAAUCCAUAGCAUGAUGCAGAAAACUUUAUUGUCCAAAAGUUGGAAACAUGGUUUUUAAUUAUAAUGAUUUUUAUAAGCAGGAGUGGGAACCUCUAUCAGUUCAGCAAAGGCAUGCUGCAUCAAUCGUUGAAAUAUUCAGGAUCAUAGAAGAGGUAUACCUACCUACUAUCAUGACAUCAUUAUGCAGAAUAGUGUGCAAACUGUAGGAGCUUAGCAGCAGCCUCAAAAUAUAAAACGAGUUCAGUGUUCGAACACAUUUUUCUUCGCUUAGGGUUGACUCUUGAAUUACAUGUUGGUUUUGUUGAAGCCCUUACUUUACUUCUAGUUCUCUCCAGCAUGGUAUUGCACGCAAUUUAUUUACCGUUUUACUUUCUCUUCUUACUUACUUUGCAGACUGUUUCUCAGCUCUUUGGUUUACAUCUACCUGUUGAUAUCACGCAUCUCCAAGCUCUUCUCUCAUUAAUUUAUCAUAGCUUGGAUACGUAUCUUCAGAGAAUUUCUAAUCAACUAGGUAACGACCAACUCCACAUGUUCUUACAGUUGUUACUGAGUCUUGUUCUUGCACUGCCAUAAAAAAUACUAUUAUAAUUCUUAAAUCUUAUGUCAGAAUCUAGAUUCUCCGCUUGAACAGGCUUUUCUGUGUCUGGUAGAUUACUUGCAACAUAAAGAUAUUUAUGUUGCGUUUCUUUGUAUGGGGUUUGCUUGAAACUAACAUCUGAGUAUAUAUAAAGAACUUCUUGUCCAAAUCCAAAGGUGAAAUAGUAAGCAAUUCUUCUAAAGCAUACUGUGAUGUAUUGACCAUAAACCUAUAUCUGCAGUUGACAAGAAGCUUCUGUAUCCGUCAGCUCCUCCUUUAANNNNNNNNNNNNNNNNNNNNNNNNNNNNNNNNNNNNNNNNNNNNNNNNNNNNNNNNNNNNNNNNNNNNNNNNNNNNNNNNNNNNNNNNNNNNNNNNNNNNGCAUGAGAGGAGUCGCUCGAGUUUGCUGGGCCAGAUAAUAAAAUGGUUAAGAAAUUGGAUGAACUGACAAUACCGAAACUCUGCAUAAGAUUGAAUACGCUCUGUGUAUGUGUAUCCUUGCAAGCUAAAACCUUCAUAUUUUUCCCUGUGAAAACUCAAUAAUAAGAUUCUUUUUCUUUCUAUUCUGUGUUCAUGGAUCAGUAUAUUCAGAAACAAAUAAGUGCAACUGAAGAUGGCAUAAGGAAAUCUUUGACACUUGUCCAAUCAUCUCUAGCCAAGAGAUCAAGUAAGCUCAUCUACUUGAGAUUAGACUUUUUUUCUCUUCAUUUCUGGUUGUUGCCGUUUGUUGAAAUGUGCACUGGCGGAGCCAUUGCAGAUAUCGAGACUGACGAAGCUGAAGAGGAGAAUUCACUGACGCAUAGUGAAGCUGUUGAUGAACUCUUUGCUACUACCUAUGACAGCCUCAGGGAGACCAAUGCCAAUUGCAUAACCAAAACCCGUGACCUAAUUGGUAAGCUAAUACAAAGUCUCGUGUCCGUCUGCAGCAUUUUAAAUUUGAGAUUAACUGAAAAAUCUGUCAAACCGAACCAAUUCUCUGCAACCUUAAGCGUCAGAAAUCAAAUUGUCUAGUUGGAUGACCUUUCUUAUCGACAAAUAAGAUGUAUUGUCAUUUUUAACUGUUUGCAGACGUAUAAAACAACAAGAUAUGCCAUCUUCUGUCUUUAUCAGACAUGCUCGUGAAUAAGCAAUGCAUAUUUAUCAUGUUCCAGUUCUGUUUGCAAACGUACAUAUUCCUCUUUGAUUGUUGUUACCUCAUUAAUGAGAGAGAAUGUUAGAUGGAUUGUAUUUCUUUAAUAUCAUGUUUCUACAUUUAUUGUUUUGUUAACAGGGGCAAGAGUGAUAUUCUGGGAUCUGAGAGAUAUGUUCCUAGUACAGUUGUACAAUGGCACAGUCGAAGGCUCCCGCUUGGAAAGAUUACUCCCUCGCAUUGAUUCUGUAAAAAAAAAAUCAUCUCUUUCCCUGAUUUACCCCUUCCUACUAAGCAUGAACUUACACUGAGAAAUGAAUUGCACAGGUCCUUGAUAAUGUAUGCAGUUUGAGUUAUGAGGACUCGCGAGACAUGGUGGUUUUAAGCAUCUGCCGAUCCGCUUUGGUAACGCUUCUUCUCCCUCACAUGUGUACAAGUUAGAAAACUUCCAAAUUCAUUUGUGCUCACUAAAACUCUAUGCUUAUCUUACAUAGGAAGCUUAUGUUCGAGUAUUACUUGAUGGAGGGCCAACUCGUGCUUUUUCGGAUUCAGACAUCCCUUUGAUGGAAGAAGAUCUCAGUAUUUUGAAGGUGAGUAAUUUACAUUUUUAUUCUGAAUUCUUUACUAUAAUCAAACAAUCAAAGUUUCUUCUGUACCAAAUUUCGAGCUCUAGUAUCUUCGUAUACACACUAUAUUCAAUUAAUUCUAGACAACAGCAUCAUAAAACUAGAAAUUAGGUUCUACUGCUUUGAAGCUGGGUUCUGCAAUCAUUCUUUCCUAUGAGAACCUGGUCUCUAUUCAUGAAUAGGGCAGUUCACUAACCUUUGCCAUGCAUUCUGGUAGGAGUUCUUCAUCGCCGAUGGAGAAGGUCUUCCUCGUUCCCUAGUUGACCAAGAAGCAAAGCAGGCACAAGAGAUUCUCGACCUGUACUCUCUGGAGGUAAAAUUAUAUUUCGUCCACUUGCGAAAUUAGUUUCAUUUCACAGAAAACCUGAGAUACUAAAGUUUUUUCGGAUUAUGUCCGAUCUCGGUUGUAGAGUGAAAUGCUAAUACAGAUGCUAAUGACUGCGAGCGAGUUAAUUAACAUGGGAGUGAGUUCAGAGCAACGUCGCUUGGAGGACGCACAGACACUAGUCAGAGUUCUUUGCCACAAGAAAGACCGAAACGCCUCCAAAUUUUUGAAGCGCCAGUACGAGCUUCCUAUGUCAUCAGGUAACAAGUUGGACUAUCUUUAACUAAGAAAUAAAAAAAUUCAUCAAGAUCAUUACAAGUAGAGCUACAAUUAAUUGUUUUGAACUAAAGGAUUCUGUAACAACAUUGUCAAUAAGUCUAAGAAAACCAUUCCUCUGCUGUUUUUGCAGAGUAUGAAGAUCCAACUUCGAAUCUGCCUGUUUUAUCCGAAAUCGUGAGAAGCACAUCUUCCCGCUGGAGCCAAACGAGCCAGAAUAGUUUCAGCUCCAUCAAGAAGAAGAUUCAAGAAGCAACAUCCGAGAUCAGGAACAACUCAGGAUGGUAGGAUCUGUGUGUUUUGUACCCUCAACUCAGUAUAAUUUGUGAAACAUCUCACAUUGCUCCAAUUUUUCCGCUCGGGGUCAGCCCAAUGACUCGCCUUUUCAAUGGGAAUCAGUGACAGUUUUCCUGCAACUUGGUAAAAUCUUUUCAUUUUCCGAGUUCAAGCCAUGGUCCAUUAUGGUUACUAGAGUUCUUCUCCUCCAUCGGCUCUGACUUGACAUCAGAGCCUUGUUCUCCUUCCCGUAUCUCCUCAUCAUCUUCCUCUGUUGCAGCACCCAACUCCUCGUCUCUUCUAGCUCGCUUCACACCAAUCGAAACCCCAAACAACCUCGGUGUCAAAUCCUCAUCAAGCUUCAAACCAAUCCCUGUUUCUAUCCUAGAAGCCAUUGCCAUGGCUUCACUCAACUCUUGUCUCUCAGGUAAAAGAUCCAACGGUUUCCCUUCCGGUAACAAACUCGCACAAUCCGCUUGACCCGUCGUGAAAUUCGCCAUCAACGAGUAGAUAUUCGCAUACAAUCCUUUAAGCUUCGUCAGCUCUUGGCUCAACUGUACAUUCUCUUUCCUCAACCUCUCGUUCUCCUCGAUCAGCUCCGGCGUAGUGGUGCAGCUCGUCGUCCUCUGAAGAACCGCACCAACCGCCGCCGCUCCUCCGGUGGUCGCGGCUGCAGCCGCAGGUGAUGAGUUAGACGAUAUUACCUGCUCUUCUCCAGAGUUCGACGGAGAUACAGUGUGAGCUAUGGCCGGAACCGCUGCAACUGUAACAGCUGAAGCCGCUACCGCCGCCGCCGCUGCAGCAGCUGCGGCGGCCAUAGCUGGCUGAGAGAUUUUCCGUCGUUGAAUAUCCCGAAGGAGAAUCUUCUCACCUCGACGGAAACAGUCGUUAGAAAACUCCCAACGAUCAGGAACUACUUUUCGAAAUCCCUAAACCAUGUUAAAACCGAAUCUGUGUCACUACCAAAUCAAUAUUAGGAUUGAUUUAAGCUAAAUCGAGAGUUAAAAAAAAAACUCACGUAAGUGUUGAGCUGACGAACAAAACUUGAGAAAUUAUUGUGUUUGAAGUAUUUUGGGAGAAGAUCUCUAGCGAAUUCAGCUGGUCUCCACACGAUGAAAGUUGAUCCAUCUUCGUUCCACGAAAUCAAUUCGUCGUAAACCGGAUCAUCCACAAGCUGAUACGUUUUCGUUAAAAACGGCGUCGGAAUUGACCUCUGCGAAUCUCCACCAACACCACUUCCGCCACCACCACCGCCGCCACAUCCACUACUUCCGCCACUGUUCCCGGCGCUACAACCACCACCGCCGCCGCCAACUCCGGCAACCGUCGGAGUUUCUCCGGUCUGUUCCCCCGGCAUGAGUUUUAGAUCCACACACCUCAAAAAACCUGAACUUUAUUAUUACCAAUAUCCAAAUUAAGAUUAGAUUCGGAAAUAAAAUUGCUGUAACAAAUGAUAGAGAAAAUGAUGGAUUUACCAAUGGAAAUGAGCUAUUUUUGUUUUACUUAUUGUUGUUGCUUGAAGAAAUUUCGAAUCAUGAGAUCCGAAUUACAAAAAAAAAAUAGACGCAGGAGAGAAAAGAGAUGUCUUUAAACCAAAUCCAAAACACUCCAAAAAAAAUUGUUCUCUUUACACCAACCAACAAAAGAGAUUGCCACAAUCCGAAAAGGAGCCCGUGACGAACACACGUUUGAUCUCAAAGCUAGAGAGACAGAGGGAGAUUGUGAUUGAGUUUGUGUCUUUGAAGUUCUAGAAGGUUCUGGCAAAUACGGAUUGAUAAUAAAGAUGAAAUGGAGAGAGGAGAGAGAUGAGAAGACAGAUCGGAAGUUCCAGAAGGAAAGAAAAAAUUGAUUUAAGAAAAAAAAAAAAAAAAAAAAAGAGAUCGAGGAAGAAAAGGGUAAAAUGGGGAUAAAAGUGAAGGGGUCCACAAGAAGGAAAGAGUAUAGGAAUGUGCGAGAAGAGCGUAUGUGGCUUUCCCUCCUUUUCCAGAAGUUUCUUCUUCUUCUUCCUUCUUCUUUACUUACCUUUAUGACCCUGUUUUUAAUUUCAGUAAACGGUAAUAAAUAUAUUGAUAAAUGAUAACAUAUUAUAAUUAAAUGUAAGUGGAAUAAGCUUAGAGUCGAAUUAAUUAUUCGUGAGUUGACUCUCUUUUUUGUUGUUGUUGUUAUGUUACAUUAAUCAUACUUCCAAUAUAGAUAAUGUAGACUAAACUAUUCGUAAUAAAAAAGUGAAAACAAAAAAAAAUAAUUUACCCACAAAAAAAGCCAAAAAAAAACGAUUUCAGUAUAUAAAAGCUCAAUAUACUUACCAACAGUUAUUUUGUAGAGUAUUUCAUGUUUUUAUGACUUGUAUGUGAGAAUCAAUUAAAGCUCAAAAUUAUCUUCGGUAGAUUUUUAUAUAUACUGUAUUUUCAAAGUCAAAAGUUUGAAUAGUAUACUUAACUUGUAUAAAUAUACUUUCUUUAAACAAAAAAGCUAGACCAAAAUGCUUCUACGGUUCUCUGUAAUUUUCUUUUCAAUGUAUUGUUUUAUUAUUUUUAGAAUCAAUUAAUUGAUAUAACGACAACAAUGCAUAGGAUAGAAAAUUCUACUAUAGGUCGAGAAUGGUUUUACGUCUUUUGUAAAAGUGUUUUGUAUUUCAGUGAUGGACGUAUAACUUUUUUACCCUACAUCUUUUUCUUUUUUUUGGCAACCUUUUGUCUAAACUUUUUUAUCACCUAAAAUAUUCAUCAUCAACCAUUAAUUAAAAUCUGUUCUUACUUCUUAGUUGAAGUGUUUGAACGCACUUGUUGUUGCUGUCGUAUUCAAAGUAAGGUUUUUGGUCAGAGUAAAUAUUCAUUGAUAUUUGACCAUGAAAUAUAGAAAUGCAGAACUGAAACGGGCUAGCAUUCAACUAUACUUGCGAGUCAUACAGUCUACAUAGAAAGGCAACGUAAUAUUUAUUUAAACUAUUUUCUAAAAACAAUAAACGUUUAUUGUGAAAACAAUCACUUUUUAUAUAUACAAAAAAAAAGGCAAUUAUCGUCACCAUUCAAAAAUAAAAUAUACAAAUAAUCUAAAAUUUUAACAAAACAUACAAAUCGAAAUAGAUUUGGUUCUUACUGUAUAACCUGUAAAUUACUUAAAUGUUAGAAUAGUUAGUUUUCAUAAUAACUUUGAAGACUGUGUUUUGCAUGUAUAUCUUUUGGUAGAAAAGCACAAGUUUUGUUGAUUACAUUCAGGUUAGUGGAGGCAGAGAGAAGAGUCAAGCUUUCUGUUGGAUAAUUGAUAAAACACCGUAUAUAAAUUAUAAAACUAUGUAAAUAUCAUAUGUAUUCUUUAUUUAUCUUGCUCUUGAUUCAUGGCGACAGUAAUGCUAUUUUGUAAAGCUAUAGGUAUUGGGUUCUAACCAUGAAUAUUAUAAAUGUUACACAUGGUAAUUGUUAGUUAAUUUAGCUAGUUACCAGAUAGGAUAGAGAUGAAUGUGGACUUGUUACAAGCUUGCCAGUUUACCACAAUAUUCAAUAAUAUGCAUGUUUACUUGGUUCAGCCACUAUCUUAAUUCCUUGAUCAAUCACUAUUUUAAUGACACUUCUACUACUUUGGAACACUUGUUAACAUCCUAGAAAAAUCGGUUUGCCACAUAUAUAUGAAGAAUUUUUUUUGCCCAUUUUUUUGGCAAAAAUACGAGGAAGACAAAUCAAUACUUAGCAUACAGUACUUCAGUUUGUUUUAUACAAUGGUCAUGAAUGUACAAAACAACACUUAGUUACUGCAAUAUUCACAUGGUCGUCAACUCGUCAUUUCUUUUUUAGAUCAAACAGGAGUGGAAUAUAAAAACCCUUUACAUGAAAUAAUUACCACAUAAAUCUCUUGCAAAGCUUAUACCCAGAGAAGAGGGUAGAGAGUGUCAAAACCAAGAAAGCAGAGAAAGACAUUGAAGCUGAAACUAUAGAAUUCUUUCUUAUGUUUUUCAUCGCGUCCUCGUUUCUAUGUUGGAUCCACGCAAUUGCCACGGAAGAAGAUGAUACUAGUAGAUAACAUAUAACCUAAUUAGGUUUUACAAAAAAUAAAAUUAGCCCAACUCUUUUAAAUGUUUACUAUAUAUUGACUAUAUACUGUGUACUAUUUCUCUUCUUUUUUGAACUAUAGUAUACUGGAUACUCUUAAUUAAAUAUGCAUAGUAUACUGGAUACUCUUAAUUAAAUAUGCAUUUGAUUGAUAAAUAAUAAGUAUGAUAAAAAAAAAUACCUGAUCAAGAAUGAAGCUGAUGUAAUCGGAGAGAGGCUCAGAGAUUAAAACUCCUCUGUGAGUAAUAUCACAAAUUCCUUUGAAUGUUUGAAGAGAUGUAUACACGAAUCCUGUCACUGCUACACCAAAACAAUACCUACGUACAGAGAUAUUGUUUCUUUUAUGAUAACAUUUUCAAUACUUCUUAAUAUAAAUUAGAUAUAAGAAAAUCAUCCAAUUUUUUUCCUUCACAUUCUUUUCUCUAUAUGUUUACGCUUAACUAUUCAUGGAUAUAGGGACACUUUGGUACUGAACAAGGGCGGACGUAGGAUGAGCAGCAUCCAUGGGGGCAAAUGCCACGGUGCCACCACUACUAUUUCAUUUUAAAUGUAACUAAUUAAGCUAAAAUUUACUGUCCCAUUUCUAUAUAUAUAAAUAUAUUUGGGCUUAAGAGCGCUUUUUUUUGCCCCAUCUUAAUUUCUUCUUCCAUCAAGCACAUCUUGCAAUCUUGCCUCCGCAUUUUAAUUUGUUGCUAAAUAUUAUUCGUUCAGUGUUCUUGUCAUAGAAAAUCCCUAAGUUUUCAUGGUCAUGGAUCUAUAUGCCCACAAGGGUCCCCUAGCCAGUCAUGGUUGUCCAACUCCCGCGCAAAGUUUUAUGUAUCACUUCAUAUAUUUAACAUAUUUUAAAGUAUUUCAUGUAUAUUAAAAGUUUUUUUUUGUGAUAAAGGAAAGAUCGGAUUCGAAACACCCAAGUAAACAGGAGAUGACCACCACCAAACAACAUAGCUGUAAGGCACGUCUAUCCAUGUAUAUUAAAAAAUUAAUAAUUAAAUUUGUCUACAGAUUUUAAGUAGUACUAAAUGUGAAUAACAAUAAAUAAACUCUAUAAGCUUGCAUAGAAAUAACAAAACAAGAUAUCAUAUAAAAAAAUUCUUAAAAAUAACUUAGUAUUAAAAAAUUGAGAAGAGGAUAAGGUUCUUACAAUAGUUCAGGAUGUGAAGCGAAACUCGAGGAGCUCUGAGUCCGAUGUCUCAGUGAAGGCCGAUGAACAUUCACUGCCAGGGAAAGAGCAGAGACAAAACAGAGAACCAAAGUUAUAAACCGGAGAACCAAACCGGAAACAUGAACCGACGCUCGCCGUGAGCUGAACCUCGAAGCCGACGGUGUUACGGAAUAUGCAAAGGAAAACGGCGUUGGAACUGACGGCGUCUGAUGAGAGAUUGGCGACGCCGUCACUGAACUAUCUGACGAACCGUAAGUGAUCACAACUACGGGAUCUUUAUGUUCUUUCAUCAAUAUUCGAGUUUCACAAAAAUAAUUCAAGAGAGACUGAUUUAUAUGAUUCUUUUUCUUAAUUUGAGAUAUAUCUUAUUUAAAGAUGAAAGGGUUGGCUGAUACUGGAUUAAAAAUUUAGAUGAAGUUUCAGCGAAAGUUUGUUAGAAUCUUCGACCUUUCUUCUUCCAUGUUAUAAUCUUAUAAUAUGCAUAAUUGUAUAACUUGUAUGACCAAAAUAUCUAAAUAUAUAUUUAUUAUUCUAGCAUACACUAGAUCUAUUUUAUUACUCAUAUCGAUAUAAAAAUAAUAAUGUAAUUAAUAGAAUUAACCGUAUAUGAUUUUCAUGAAAAAUAUAAAUAAAUGCACAUAUCACAAAUCUAAAACCCAGUAAUUAAUGAGAAAAAGGUCGGACAAAAUAUCAUCGCCAAUAACAAUUACUACAAUUAGAUGACGUUACUUACAUUUGUUUUUCUCAUAUUAAUUUUAUUAGAUGCAUUUAAUUCCUCGUAACAAACUGACAUGCAUUAUGUACAAUAAGGAUUUAGGAGUUUCUAAUCUUCUGGUUAAGCCGAUCCUUACCACAUUAAAAUUCUAGUACUGGAAAAUCGAUCCAAAUAUUAAAACAAGAAAGCAGAACCGACUCGGAUUUAUUUAUAAUGUACAUAAAUCCUUUAAACCAUAACCAAGACGGGAGACAAACAAACAAACAAAAAUCCUCAACCGAUAUCAAAUUAAGCCAAACCAAAAAAAAAACUAGUCAAAAUAUUUCAAAUUGAAUGUACAUUUUGCAAGAAAAUAACGUAACAUCAAUUAUGGUGUUUUAUUUAAUUAAAGACAAAAAAUUCUGAACUGAUACUCAACCAAAAACCAAAUAUGUACUUAUGCAUUAAAGCUACUGGAGCUAUAACUUAUAUCUUGCAUUAUAUAUAAGAAUUGGCAUUUUUUCCAAUCCUUCGACAAAGAAAAAAAACAUCCAAACUAGUAAAAUCAUGAUGAAAACAAAAGAUUUUAUGUUUGUGACAAUUUUGAUUGUGUUAUGUAUGUCGAUAAGUAGCAUCAAUGCGGAAAAAAAGUUUAUAUUCCCUAUCCAGGUCAAGGCAAUUUAGGUAAAGGUUGUGAUCCAAGAUUUCCCACGCCCGAAUGUUAUUUGCCCAAACCAGCAAAUCCAUAUAGCCGAGGAUGUACGCUAAUCAAUAGAUGCAGACGUAUACCUUCGUUGAAGCAAUUUCUGCAAAAACUUCUCCGUGAAUAAUGUAGACACGACGAUGAUUAUUAUAAGAUACAUACUAAAAUGUUACAAAAAAAAAAGAGAUAUGUACUAAAAAAAUGAUAGCUAAAAUUUCAGUUUUUUUUUUUUGUUCACAUUCAUCUCUUUAUUUUACAAAAAAAGGGUGAAAAUUUAUGGUUUAGGAUUCAUUUUGAAUGAUCAAACCGUGAACUUUGAGUUUUCAAAAAGGUAACUUUCGUUCUUUUAUCAAAGAUGAAAGCUAAUAAUUAUAUGAAAAUAUAAAACAACGUAAGCAGCCUUUUUUUGUCGUCGAUCGCAACGUAAGCAGCCUAAAACCCCAAAAUCAAGAUAGUACAAACUUAAAAAAGAAAAUUACUAUGUGUUUGCCAAAAAAAAAAAAAAAUUACUAUGUUUUAAUUCUUAGAGCAUGAACAUCACCGUAUGUAACCGUGUCUCUUGUGAAUAAAAAAUAUUUUUUAAUACAAAUGGGUCUUUAGAAAUUGUAGAGACGUCUCCUAAAUUGAAACCGUAAGAGAUGAUUUUCAAAGAUAGAUGAACUUAUGUGAUUGGCUAUUCAAUUUGGGAGAAAUUUUUUUUUCCUUCCUUCCUCAUUUUCCCCAAAAACAAUUUUUUCUUUGUCUUCUCCGUCAAAAUCGUCGAAGGUGACGACGACGUGUUGGUGGCGAAUCCCUACGGCAUCGUCGACAGUGUUGGGAGGCCCACAGCAGAAGAUCGAGACGCCGACGAUAAUCCCUCUUCUCUUUCGCCUCUGUUAUCAGUUUUCUCUGUCAAAAUCAAUCGGUGAUGAAUCAGUUAAUUUUUGAUCGGUUCGGGAAUUCUAUCUUCAUCGGUUCGGAUUUUUGUUUCUUUCUUCUUCAGAAUUGUUUAGGGAUCGAAUUGGAUGAUUAUUUUAUUUAGAGGUUUCAAUCGGUUUUGGUAAUUUAGGGUUAUGAUUGAUUUGGGCAUCAACUCUAUGAUUAUUUGAUGUCAGGUUAUUUGCUUCGUGGUUUUGAUUAAUGGGUAUGAUUUAGGGUUCUGGUCGAGUGUAUUGACUUCAUCUCUUAUGAAUUGAGUUGUUUGUUGGAUAUAUGGAUUUUGUUAAUUCAAUCAGUGAUGUAGCAAUAUGGUUUUUGUGUUUGUUUAAGUGUCAAUAAGAAAUUGUUUGCUUGAGAUUGAGAUUGUUUGCUUUGAUUCAGAUUAUUUGUUUGAGUUUUUGUUAAGCUUCUCUGAUUUUGUACAUGCAUAAUCGGUUGCAUUAUUUGGAACUAAACUUGGUAUUUAGUUUUCUUUUAAUGCAGCUUAAGGUUAUAUAUCUCAAAAGGCGAAACAGGUGAAACUGGUGGAGCAUUAAAGCAGACGACAAAAGUAAUUCCUGGUAAGCAACCUUCAAACCCUUAAUAGGAUUUAGCAUAAAAAUGUGGCUUUGUAGUUGGUGAUAUAAUAAAGGCUUGUUCAUUUUAGGGAGAUUUGUAGUUGGUAAUGGUAUUAAAGGCUGGGUUAGAUAGGUUUGAAUGCUUCUGUUUAAAGACUUUUAUGUCUCGUCGAUGUUAGUUGGAGUUCAAUGCUUCUUCUUGUUUACUUUGAAUGUUAAGAGACCUUUAUGUCUUUGUUGUUUGCUUUGAAUGCUUGCUUUCAAUUUUUGUUUUCAAUGCUCUUUGUUCCUCUUUAAAACCUGAUCCUUCUUCUCCUUUAAUUCAUAUCCGAAACAAACCCUGCAUCUCUUUCAUUCCCUCUAAACCCUAUCUUCAAAACCUUUUCAUUCCUUCACUUCCAUUCCUUUUUAAUGGAUAUGUCUUCUGCAUAUCCAUAUGCGCAACCCACAAACUUUUUUGACUUGUUGAAUAGUCAACAAGGAACUCCACUUGAUGAUUCCUUUUGUUCACUCGAGCCAUUUCCAAGCUGCAGCACCCAGUCUAUGUUGAUACCGAGUAUCACACAAAGAGUUUAAAAGAUUUUAUUAAUGUUAUAGCUGAACUCAAGAUGAGCUGUCUACAUACCCUUGAGAAUUGAUCAAACCAUUCGUAGUUCUGUUAUUAAAGUUGUGAAUGAUCCCUGAAAAAGAGGAGUCUCUUCUAUUUAUAGGGUUUAGAAUCGGUCUCUCUAGACGAUUUCCUUUUUGUAUUUGGAUUUGGAUUCGGGAAUAUUUCCUUUUCUUGGAUAUGAUUAAAGAAAUAUUCCACAAAGUUCAGAUAUUAAUGCCAAUAUUGUAAAUCGGGCUUUAGAAGCCCAUAGGCUAUUAAUAGGCCGAAUAUCCUUUGGAUAUGAACCAUCGUAAAUCGGGAUCAAUUGGGCCGAUCUCGUUUCAAACCGAGCUAAACCAGGGGUGUGGAGUACACCACCAACAGUCUACACCUCAAGAGAGAAAAGAGAGAGCUGCUUGGACCCCCAGCGACGAUGUCUUACUGAUCAGUUCCUGGUUAAAUACCAGUAAAUAUCCAGUAGUUGGAAACGAGCAGAAGAGUAGAGCUUUCCGGAAGAAGAUAGCAGCUUAUUAUGCUGCAAGUCCAAAUGCAGAGGGUCGUGUACUGCGAAUGGCAAGCCAGUGCAAGCAGAGGUGUCACAAGAUCAAUGAUCAUGUGUGUAAGUUCUGCGUUGCGUAUGACUCUGCAACAAGAGAGAAGGCUAGUGGCCAGAACGAGAACGACGUGCUUAAACUUGCUCACCAGAUUUUCUUCAGUAAUCACAAGAAGAAAUUUAACUUUGAACACGCCUGGAAGGAAUUGCGGAAUGACCAAAAGUGGUGUGAUCUUUCCACCAUAAGGGUAAUGCAUCGAGCAAAAGGAGAAGAAGUGAUGAAUUGUUCACCGGGCUCGGUUACAGAACAGAUGAAGACUGUCAAAGUUGAUGUUUCUAGCUCUCGUCCUAUUGGUAUAUUGGUAUGAAGGCUUCAAAAGCCAAAGGAAAAAGAGCUACGGGUGAAGGUAACCCUGUGGCUUAAGCUAUUGCAGACUUUCAAAGGGUGUGGGACGUCAAAGAAAAGGACUUAGCAACAAGGGAAAGACUUUCUAGGAUGAGCGUUCUUGACAGGCUCCUUGCAAAAACAGAAGCUCUGACUGAGGUGGAAUAAGCACUUAAGAAGAAGCUUCUUGGGGAGAUGUUGUCUACUUAGUUAUUUUGGGUUUAUGUUUAGAGUUAAGAUGUGUUAUGGUUUGGCUUUGUUUGUUUUAUGUAUUAGAUUAAGAUGUGUUAUGCUUUAGUUAUGUUCUUGUGUUAUGUAAUUUAUUUCUAUGUUAAGCGACCUUUGUAUUUGGUAAUCUGCUUUAAAAAAUAUGCUAAUGUGAUAUUUGGUUAAGUUACCAUUGUGUAUGUCUUUGGUUAUCUUAGUUUUUACAGCUUAUGUAUGUGUUAUUGUCUUAUGUAGUUGUUAUCUUCGUUAUCUUUGGUUAUCUUGGUUAUGGAUGGUUAUAAAUUUGCUUAUGUAUUUCUUUGAUUGUCUUUGAUUGUGUUUCAGGCCAGAGUUGGAGUAAGUUGGCAGAAAACAACAACACAAGUCAUGUUGGGAGUCACAAGUUGGCAGAAAACAAAAACACUUUUUCACAAGUUGGGUUUAGUCGGCACAAAAGAACAACACAUAGAAAAUAUUUGUAUAGUGUUCAAAAAUUUUUAUGGUUGUAAAUAUGUUGUAUUUUGAGACCACAAGAAUUCUUCUUUAUUUUGCCACCACAAAAUGCAAAGUUGACUCUUCUAUAUAUAGUUUCUACACCAUUUGGUGAUAGCUCAACACAACGCUUUUCUUUCUUAAUUUUUUUGUCUAUCAAGCAAUUCUCCUUUUCUCUUUCAAGCAAUUCUUUUGUUCUUCUCUUAUUAUUUUGUAAACGAUAUCCAAUUAAAACAAAAAAAAACAAUGGCUUCAUCUUCUAAUAAAAAUGGUGAUGAAUCAGUUGAUGAAUAUUUUGAUCACCAAUUUGAUCACCUAUUUGAUCAAGUUUUUUAUCAGAAUAUUCAGAAUCUGUUCAUUGACUAUGGACAACAUCAAGAGGCAUCCAAUUCAAGAAAAAAAAGAGCUUUCAUUGAAAGAAACCAGGAAGAAGGCCAUAUACGUUUAUGGAAUGAUUAUUUCAGUGAAGAUGCAACAUUUCCGGCUUAUCUAUUCCGAUGCCGGUUUAGGAUGAAUAAGUCAUUGUUCAUGAAGAUUGUUGAUCGACUAUCUACUGAAGUUCGAUACUUUCGACAGAAGAACACGCUCUCGGAAGGCCUGGUCUCUCCAGACUUCAGAAAUGUACAUACGCAAUUCGUCUUUUGGCAUACGGAACUGCGGCUGAUACAAUAGAUGAAUACCUCCGGAUUGGUGCUACUACUGCUCGGAACUGUUUGGAAAUUUUUGUCGAAGCAAUCAUAAACUUAUUUGGUGAUGAAUACUUGAGAAGACCCACACCAGAGAAUCUUCAACGGUUACUUGAUUUUGGAGAGCACCGUGGAUUUCCUGGAAUGGUAGGAAGCAUCGACUUUAUGCAUUGGGAGUGGAAGAAUUGCCAUAUCGCGUGGAAAUGGCAAUAUUCACGUGGUGUAGGCAAACCCACAAUCAUUUUAGAGGAUGUAGCAUCAUUUGACAUGUGGAUAUGACAUGCGUUUUUUGGACCUCCAGAUACCUUAAACUAUAUAUUUUUUUUUAUCGCUCACCCAGUUUUGAUGAUAUAAUUCAAGGUAAAGCUCUACAAGUGAAUUUUUUCGUCAACGAAAAGGAGUAUAAUUUGGCAUACUAUCUGACAGAUGAUAUUUAUCCGAAAUGGACAACAUUUAUCUAAUCUAUUCCACUUCCAUAAGACCCAAAAACAUGUUUAUUUGCGGAAAAACAGGAAGCUUCUCAAAAAGAUGUCGAACGUGCUUUUGGAGUCUUGCAAUCUCGGUUUGCCAUUAUCAAAAAUCCAACUCUGUUUUGGGAUAAGGCAAAAAUAGAAAAGAGUAUGAGAGCUUGUAUUAUACUCCACAAUAUGAUAGUAGAAGAUGAAAGAGAUGGAUACACUCUCUUAAAUAUUUCAGAAUUCCAAUACGGAGAAGGAAGCGGAAGUUCAAAUGUGAAUCUCGUGUAUGAAACAGAUACUUCAAAUCUUGAGAAUAGUAUCUUUGCUCGAACAAGAAUUCGUGAUAGAUGACUACAUGAACAACUGAAAGUCGAUUUAAUGGAGUAUAUCUGGCAAAAAAUCGGACAUUUUUAUCAAAAUACCAACUAAAAUUUUUAUCAAAAUUUCUGUUUUAUUUCUGUUCUUGUCUUAAUCUUUGUAAUAAAAUAAUUAUAUUCUUAUAAAUAAAAUAUAUUUUUUAAACAACCCCAAAAAAUUUCUAACAAUGUACAUCUAAAAUAAAUAAAUCUCUUAUAUGAGUCUCUAACCCAAUUUUAUUAUUAAAAAACUACUUGAGAAACCCUAAUGAGUCUCAACAAUGUUCAUAAUCUUAUAUAUAUUUAAUAAUUUAGUUUUAUUUAUUAUUUUCUAUGGACUUUUCUUUUAACUUUUUUAAUGUUUCCUCUCUCAGCGUAGAUAUCUGACACCAAUACCAUCCCCAAUGGUUUUGUUGGGUUACCUGUUGGAUUGUUAGUCUUAUUCUAGCUAUCAAGAUUCUGUAAAAUUCUUUGCACAGUAAAUUAAGGAAAAUGUGUCAUUCUUAUUCUUAUCAAGAAUUUCAGAUAAAACUAGAUACAUUUUCGAAACCCUCAUCUUCUCUUAAUUUCUGUAAGCUUUUUUGGUAACUUUGUAAGCUGAAUAAUGUUAGAGUAUCUUUGUUCAUAAAAAUGAAUUUGUACUUAACUAAUUGCUGACUUUUGGAAGUUAAUCUUCUGUGACUGUUCCACAUAUAAAUCUUUAAGAGUUUCCAGGAGAUUAUUACAUUCUUUUCCAUUUGCUUGGCAGAAUAUUACGAAACCAUUUGCAAAAAAAAAAAAAUUAAUAGAAAUGGGUGGUCUACUUCGACUAGUUCUGAAGCCAUGUAAUGUUAUUUAUAUCGCUUUUUGAAUUAAAAAUGAAUGACCUUUGUUCAAAUUAAAUGUAAGUUAAGUGAGCGAGGAUCUAUCUACACCGUUGAUAUGCAAAACCAAACUAUUUCAGCAUUAAAUGAGAUGAAUGUCAAUUCACCAAAAAAAAAUGAGAUGAAUUUCCAUUUAGCCUUAACAAAUGCUUCUUCUCUUCUUUUUUUUUUUUUGAACUAAUCCUUAUCAAAUGCUUUUGCUAGCUUAAGAACCAUAUAAUUAAUUUGGUUUGCAUGAAUAUAGAAGUUAAUAAACUAGUAAAACAUUAUCAGGGAUGAGUCUUCAUAGAAAAAAGGACACUAAUUCUUCGAUAUUAUUUAAUCUAUAAUUGCAACUGCUGUAUAUCCUUCCGCACAAGAGACUAUGAAGCACUAUUUUACCAAAAAGUAUAUGAAGCAAUACCUGACAAUUUAAAUGUACAAACGAUUUACAACUUUAAUGGUAAAACGUCCAUAUAUGGAUAUAUAUAUAUAUAUAUAUAUAUAUAUAUCAAUAUAGGCGGACGUCGAGGCUCGAAAACUAGGGAAAUUUGGAAGAAUAGAGUUUGGGGUGAUCAAGGUUGACCAAUAAACAGUAUCCGGUAAUCUGAAAUUAUUAUAAUCAUAUAUGGAUAUCUCCUAAAGAAUUAUGAUUAACAUCGUAAUUUCUUCAUUUUUCUCCGAUCUACAAUUAUUAAAAAUAGCGUGCACCACGCAGGAUAGUUAUUUCGUGCAAGAAUGAAAUACUCAAAAUUAUUAUGGACAAUUUUGUUAAGUUGUCAACGAAAUUAGUAAGGCAGAUGUUAAUUCAUCUCUCUCGUUUACUAUAAAUAUAAAGGAAUGCAUAUAUGUCUCUCUAAGAGAACUACAAGUCUAUAUAUCUAACAUACAAAUUAAUGUUAAGAUGAAUGAACAAUACCCUCGAUUUUUGUUAUAAAAGAUUACAAUCUAAAUCUCUACUACUUUAUAAAGGCGUGUAUAAACUCUUAAUUUAUGAUAUAUAUAAGAAAACUAGAAAGUCACUUGUAGUAUAUCCUAAUCCUCAAUACACACCAAUCUAGAAACAAGACUAACGUUAGUCCAUAGUCAAGCCGCCCCUACCUGUCCAUCAUUUUAUAUUUGUAAAAAUGAUGAAACCAAAUUAACAUUCAUUACAUAGAUAACUUCAAAGAUACAAUACUAAUUAAAUAAUAAAAUAAACAAACCAACACAUAACCUCUUACCUCUAUAUAAAAUCCAUAAUACAUAUUAACUAAAGCUCAUACACACAAGUAGUAAAAUAAAAAAAAAUGGCAAACAUCUCACUCUCUACGUUCAUCUUCUCCAUCCUUUUCUUCAUCUCCACCGCGACUGCCGCCACAUUUGAGAUCCUUAACCAAUGUGGUUAUACCGUAUGGGCUGCCGCAAGCCCUGGAGGUGGCCGGCGUCUUAACUCUGGCCAGUCAUGGACGCUAAAUGUCCCAGCGGGAACAUCUAUGGCACGGAUUUGGGGUCGGACCAACUGUAACUUUGAUUCUUCGGGCCGUGGCCGAUGUGAAACUGGUGAUUGCACUGGUGGGCUUCAAUGUACCGGUUGGGGCCAGCCACCAAACACGUUGGCUGAGUAUGCUUUGAACCAAUUCAACAACUUAGACUUCUACGACAUUUCACUUGUCGAUGGAUUUAACAUUCCUAUGGAGUUUAGGUACGAAUAUCACCAUAAUCUUUUCAUAUAUUUGAAUUUUGCCCGAAAAAAAAUUUCUGACCAUAAACGUAAAAAUUUCAAUUUUGAAACUUGAAUUCGACCUAAAUACACCCACAUAUGUUUUUUAAUUACCGGCUGAAAAAAUCAGUGUCGUUAAAAACGAUACUGAGAUAGUACUAAAAAUAUGGUUUGCUGUUAAAACUUACGAUUCAUUUUUAUUUUUCUAACAGUUAGAUAGUAAUUUUUUCUUUAAAAUAAUUGACAAAAUAAUAAAAAACAUACAAAAAAAAACUAAUUUAACUAUAGUACUUGCCUUUUUGUUAUUAACUUUCAUUUAGUGCUUGCCAUUUUAAUGUUGUAGGCAACAUGCAGAAAAUCGCAUAACAAGACAUUUUCUUAAAAAAGCUUUCCCUUAAUUGGUUGAUAUCUCUUUGCUGUUGGAGAAAAAGAAAAUAACCAUGGAAAUAAUUAUUUGUAAAAGUGUUUUGAAUCGAUAAUGCUGAUUUAACCCUUUUCACUCUUUGGGUUUGUAAUUUUGUAUUGUCUCCUCCAGCCCAACAACCUCGAGUUGCCACCGGAUACUAUGUACGGCGGACAUAAAUGGACAAUGUCCGAACGUGUUAAGAGCGCCAGGUGGUUGCAACAACCCGUGCACCGUUUUUCAGACGAACCAGUACUGUUGUACGAAUGGGCAAGGAUCAUGUAGCGAUACAGAAUAUUCAAGGUUCUUCAAACAGAGGUGUCCCGAUGCCUACAGUUAUCCACAAGACGACCCGACCAGCACUUUCACUUGCACGAACACUAACUACAGGGUCGUGUUUUGUCCUAGGGCUAGACUCAGUACCCACCAGCUCCCGAUCCAGAUGGUCACAGAGGAGCAUUAAUUAUCAGACUCUUCUCUAUUGUAUGUGUGUAUGAGCGUGUACUAGUGUGUACGUAGAUAUACAUGUGUACGUAGAUAUAGAUAUAUGCGUAAGCGUGUGAUAAUGUUUACGUGAGUAUCACACUUGAUGGAUAAUAAUGAAUGCAAGAAUAAGUUGGACUCACUUCUCUUUUUCCGGUCAUGCUUUUAUUAACGGGUAAUAAGGAAUAAAACUCUCAGUUUGAUUAUGAUUUUGAUUAGCCGUAGGUUUUUAGGUUUUGUUCUAGGAUUUUAAAUUCUAAAACGUAAUAGAGUUUUUUUUUUUUUUGGGUAAAGAGAUUCUAAAGAUAAGAUAGAACAAGCUAGCAAAAUAUUAGCAAAAAUUGCUCCAAGGAUAACACAAACUUCUUUUAUAAUGUUUCUAUGAUUCUCGAAAUUAAUAUGAAGUAAUGUUUUCCAAUCCUUUUUCUCCAAAAUAAAACAUUUACAAUAUUAUCUCUUUUAGGUAGAUUGUUAAGUUAUCAGCAAAAUCAAGUUUUGAAAGUAGAAUUUUCGGAUUACUAAUAAAAACUUUUGUUUGAGAUUUAAAGAAAACAUCUCAAUUUUUGUUAGCAAAAUUUUCAUGACAGCCUAAUGAGCUCAUUGAUAAGGUCUGCUCUCUUUCUCUUGUCGUGUUUGUGAUUGCUGUCAGACUGCGAGUAGAUUCAAUUCGUGUGAAGGUAUACGAAAAUAUACAUAGUAAAAAGAAAUCCUUACUUUAAUAAUGAAGUUGAUUGACUAAUAAGAGAUCCUUAGUUCAAUAUUUUUUGUUGCGUGCGAAAAACCAUGUCGCCGUGCAGCUUUGAGAAAAAAAUCGUUUAGUAAAACUAAUUAUUUUGGCAUCGUCAUAGCAGUAUAUUUGUAGACUUUUAGACGUCGUUGAUUUGAGUUUAACCUUUUUGAUAUAGGUCUCCAAUUAAUCAAUCAAAAGCUAAGGCAUAUAAAUAUUAAAUAAGCAUAAUCUGUUUGGACCAUUAACAAACAUGUUGUUUCUGUGAUAAAGUAUUCUAAAAGGAUCUAGUGGGUUUUUCAUUGAGUCAUGCGCUUACACGAAUUUCCCUACAUUACGGGUUCUUUAAUGGAUAUCAAGUGGGUUUAGGAAUCGGUUUUUUAGGAUAUAAAUACAUGGCUUAUCACUAUAAGAAAACAUUUGCUUUUAGACGACUAUAUCCGUUGGUAAUCCGUCGGAAAACGCUUUUCCAAACGGAAUUCUGACAAAAACAAGUCGUCGGGAUCAUCUCGUCGGGAAAAAAUAUCCGUCGGAAAUUUAUCGGGUAUCCGACGGAAUACCGAGGACUUCAAUUACUCGACGAAUUUCCGAGGACAAAAAUUUUCCGACGGAUUCCUGACGACGCAACUUUUCUGACGGAUUCCCGAGGACGCAUUUUUCCGACGGAUUCCCGACGGUUUUAUAAACCAAGGAGUUUCUGAUGGUUUUGGUUUUGUCGGAGUUUAAUUUCCGACGAAAAACCGACAAACUUGACGAUUUUUGUUUCCUGACGGAUUUCCGACGUACUCAUUUCCCACGAAUUUCCAACGGUCCUUUUUUUAGUGCCGACGAUUUUCCGACGGUAAAAGAAAAAUCAAAAAAAAAAAAAUUUUAAAACAUUAAUUCAGAGAAAUAAAAUUGUAAAUUAAAUAUAAAUAAAACUGAAAUUUAUAAAUAUAAUGAAAAUAUUUUAACAAUUUUUAAAAUUCAAAUAUUCAAAUAACAAAAAAAAAACAAUAAUCUAGGUUUCUGGAUUUUCCGUUCCCGAACUUCCGAAUCCCGGGAAGUCAGGAAACCUCGCCUUCAUCCAACUUGCCAUGGUUGCGACUUCCGAUCUGGUUGUAGUGAGCUCCGAUUUGGUCGUAGUGAGCUCUUGUUGUGUUGCAUCUAACUUGUGCUCCAAAUCCGCUGCUUUUGCCUUGAGCUCUUCGUUUUGCUCGACGAUAUCUUCGGGAUAAGAAGAAGAACCGAAAGAUUCUUGACUUGAGACAACAUUACCCAAACCACGUCGGCGUCCUUUCUUCAACGGAAGCUCCUGCACAAUUAAAACAAUAAGUUGUUAAUACCAACAGCAAAUGUAGACAAAAAGAAAAUUAAAGGUACACAAACCAAGAAAACUUACUUCGCAAACCAAACGGUUGAUUUCUUCGCGCGACAAAAUGACGGGGGAUGAGGAGUCACGUUGUGACUGUUGACUGCUCUCGAUGGUCUGCGUCACCUUCUCAUAAAUUUCAUUCAUUAGAGGAUCUUGAAUCACAUUGCUCCCCUUCUUUGUGUGCACCUUUUUCAUCACCUGAAGAUGAUCUGGACGCACUCCUCCAGCCUCUCUAGUCUAUUUAAAAAAACAAAAAACACUUAAAUGUUAUAAUAAAAAGUGAACACGUAUUGUAAAAUCCCAAAAAAAAUAAGAUAAUUUUACCAUUUGGUCUUCUUGACUCAAAAAGCUCGUCAAUCCGGAGUUGUGAACAUAUUGCCCUUUGCCUUUUCGGUCACUCCUUUUGUUUGUGGAAUUAGUCUUCGAUUUCUUCUCCGUCUCGGGGUUUUCCCAAUAUGGGAUGUAGUGUUUCCAGAAAGUGGCAUUCAACCCUUUCGGUUUGCCUUUCCCCUUCCUCCAAUUCUGCUUCCACUCGUACAUGUUUCUUGAGAAUUGCCUAGCACACUCAGCAAGAAACAAGCCCUCCACAUUCUUUGUGCGGUUUGGAUGCCAUGUAAACUCUUGCUGAAAAAAAAAAUAAAUUUCUGAAAUAAUACUAAUUUAAGAAAAAAUUUGAGUAUUGAAUAAAUUGUUUGAAACUUACCGCAAACUGUUUGAACCAUAUGUUUUUCUUUUCGAUAGGGAUGUCAGAAAACGUCUUGUACGGUUUCUUAAGGAGUGAAUGCAGCAUUCUCAAAAUGCACUUGCUAAUCCCGUUGUUCGAAUAUCCAAACUUUUAAGAAAAAAAUCUUGUUAUUUUUAUAAACAUAUUAUCAAAAGAAUAAAAAGAUGAAAAAAUAAUUAAUUACCAAGUCGCAUUUCCACGCCGAAGUGGAUCAAGCGGUGUGCAUAACUCUCGUCCGGGCUCACCGAGUAAAUUGUUAAUACUCGUGUAGAAUGCAUCAGACGACGGAGGAGUAUGAGAAGAAUCUCCAGAACCGCGGAAAUCUCUGGGAUAUCAUCCAACUCCGGAAACUCCGGAUUAUCAUUAGACUCCGGGAUCCGUAUCCAAAUGAGUCCUUGACGAAAAGCUUUCAUUGGUACGUCGUCGCCGGGAUUGAGACGACGUACCAGAUAUAUGACCUUGGUAUUCUCCGUAAUCCCUUUAAAAAAUUUAUCUAAAGUUAAAAACUUAUAAAUUGUAAAAAAAAGACAUUAAAAACAAUUUUUUUUAAGAGAACUUUAAUGUUUUAACAAACAUUUUUGAAAAUUAUACAAAAUAAGUACAAAAUAAAGUUAUAAUAAAAGUUGUUAUAACAACAAUAAUUAUGUUUUAAAAAAAAAACACAUUAUGUAUCAAAAAAAUCAAUUUAAAUAAAAUUUAUAACAAAUUUAUUUCUUAUCUACAAUUAUAGGAGAACACAUUUUUUUUUAUUGAUAAAUUUUUUAAAAAAUCUAUUCUAAAUUAUAAAUAAUUUCUUGUGAAUAUAUUUGUUAGAAUUAGUUGCUUAUAUAUAUAGGAAAUUUCAAAAAUUAACAAAUCUAUUUUUUGCCAAAACUAAUAAUUUUAGAAAUCAAAUAAUUUUACAUAUCUAACAAAUCUUAUAAUUUUUCCAAACUAAAAAUUUUACAAACAUAUAAACCACAAUUAUAAUCUAACAAUUCUAAUUUUUUCUUACAAAUCUACACCUAUCAAAUCUAACUUUUCAAAUCAUGACUUUUCAUCCCACACAACUUACCUUCUCCAGUAUCAACGCAAUUACGCAAGUUAGAUGCAUAUCCAUCAGAAAAUUUAACACUUUCCUUAAUCCAGUCGAAGAAUUCUUCUUUUGAAAGCGCAUUUAAUCGAAAAGCUGGGGGCAAUGAUUUCCCAUUUUCCAUAACAUGCAGUUCUUUACGGGAACAAAUAUAUCAGGUAAGUCUAAUCUUGCCUUCAGAUUAUCUUUAGUCUUCCCUUGCACAUUAAGUACAGUAUUCAUGAUGCUGUCGAAAAAGUAUUUCUCAAUGUGCAUCACAUCUAAAUUAUGCCGAAGUAGAUGGUCUUUCCAAUAUGGAAAAUCAAAGAAAAUACUCUUCUUGUUCCAAUUGUGGUACUCUCCACAUCCUUGAAUAGGAACAUGACCAUUCCCACCACAUGAAACCGUCUUCUCAGCAUCAAAAUCUCUUAAUUGUCGGAUUAUAUCUAAACCUGUAGGCUCUGGAGGUAGAGCAUCAUAAUUUUUUUUAUUCUUCCUAAACAGUGUCGUGCUCCUUCGAUAUGGAUGAUCAGGGGGUAGAAACCGUCGAUGGCAAUCAAACCAAGAAGUUUUUCAUCCGUGUCGUAAUUGGAAUGCAUCAGUGUUAUCUUGACAGUACGGACAUGCUAAUCUUCCGUGAGUAGACCAUCCAGAAAGCAUACCAUAUGCUGGAAAAUCACUUAUCGUCCACAUAAGAACCGCUCGCAUUACAAAAUUUUGUUUUAGAGAAACAUCAUACGCUUCAAUGCCAUAUUUCCAUAGCAGCUUCAACUCAUAAAUUAAUGGCUAUAAGAAAAUAUCAAGAGAUCUCUUGGGGUGCUCUGGUCCAGGAACGAGUAUUGUAAGGAACAAAAACUCUCGUUUCAUGCACAAACUUGGUGGCAAAUUAUAAGGUGUGACAAUUACUGGCCAUAAAGAAUAUUGCCGCCCAUGCUUGCCAAAAAGGUUGAAUCCAUCCGUAGAUAACCCAAGGUAGACAUUCCUUGGCUCAGACGCAAAACUAGGAUAGAGCUCUUGAAAACGUUUCCACGCUUCUGCAUCUGAAGGAUGUGCAAUCUCUCCAUCUGAGUUGUGUUGUGCAUGCCAUCUCAUUGGAGCUGCUGUUCGCUCUGAUUGAUAUAACCUUUUCAGCCUCUCUUUUAUUGGCAAAUACCAGAUCCUUUUAUGUGGAACAGGUACUCUGCUACUUGUUUCCUGAUAUCGCGGUUUAUGACAAAAUUUGUACUUUAAGCGAUGCUCGUUAUUCCUCCAGAAUAUCAUACAAUUGUCGAUGCAGACAUCUAUCAUUUCAUAUGGUAAUCCAAGACCACUUACAAGUUUCUGAAUCUCGUAAUAUGAAACCGGUGAGAUAUUAUCUUCAGGUAAAAUAUCUUUAACAAAAUCAGCUAUUGCAUCCACACAAUCUUCUGCCAGAUUAAAAUCCAUCUUGAUAGUCAUCAACCUGCUUGCAGAGUAUAAAGGCGAUAUGCCCUCUCUACAUCCUCCAUAUAAAGGUUGUUUAGCUGCAUCUAGCAUAUCAAAAAACCUCUGGGCUUCUAAAUUAGGUUCUUCUGUUCUAUUACCAUCCUGAAUAUACGAUGCUACGUUUUCUUGAAAUGCGUCAUUCACCAUCUGAACAAUACUACCUACGUUUACAUCAUUCACCAUCUCAACAUCUGGAGUUGGUUCUUCUAUCACACCAGAAGCACUGCUAUAAUAAUUUACCAUUGAUUCAGUUUCUCCGUGCAUAUACCAAAUCUUGUAUCCUGGCAUAAAUCCAUUCCUAUACAAGUGAUUCCAUAGUCCUCUAACAGAGUAUACUCUGUUAUUGCGACAUGUAAGACAAAGACAAUAGAAUUUAGUAUUUCCAGAGCUCUCACUAUUCUUUGUCGUAAGGGUUAUAAAUUCUUCAAUACCACUCGCAUACUCAUCGGUUAGUUUUCCCGAUGUUGGAUCAAGAUGGGGUUUAUCCAUCCAUGAUCGAAAAUAAUUAUAUGGGUUUGGGUUUGAAGAAGACAUGUUCUUUCACCCUUGAUUUGUAUGUUGGGAAUGAGAAAGAAGAGGUAUUUAUAGCAAAACCUGACUUCAUUUCCGAGCGUAUUCCGACCGAUUUCUGACGAAACUUUAAAACGGCUAGAAACGGCUAGUUCAACGGAUACAACAACGGCUAGAUCUAAUAAUUCCGUCGGAAAUCCGUCGGGAAAGUUGAAAAUUUAAAAAGAAUCAAAUUCCGUCGGAAAUCCGUCGGAAAUCCGUCGGAAAUUUCCGACAGAUUUCCGACGAAAUUGUAUAUUUUUUUGGUUGAAUUUUCAACUUUUUUGAAAUCCGUCGGAAAUCCGUCGGGAAUUUACCGACGGAUUUCUGACAAAACCUUAAAAAACAACCAUUUCAAUAAUCUGUCGGAAAUCGGUCGGGAUUUGCGACCGAUUUCCGUCUAACUUUUUCUCGUCGGUAUUUUUUAGUUUUUCGUCGGGAUUCCGUCGGUAUUUUCCGACGAAAUAUAUUCCGUCAGAAAUUUCGUCAGGAAUCGUAAUGUUUUCUUGUAGUGUAUAUAUGGAUUAUAUUUGAUUACUUCACACAAUUAAUAAGAAAACCCUAAACGGGUGUCUGUCUCGAUUUGUGAUUUUUUUAUCUUUGAUUAUUACUUUCUUUAGUUUGAUUCACAACAAAUGGUAUCAGAGCUCAAGAUUUUCCGCGAAACUAUGCCAUGACGAAGGGAAGUUCUCUAAGUUCGAUGUUCCUAGGUUCGAUGGGAAGGGGAAUUUUUCGGUUUGUGACAAAGUCGAGUUAGGGAUCUGCUGACGCAGCAGGGGAUGAAAAGGCGCUGUUAGAGAAAAAGCCAGACAAGAUUGAAAAAGAUGAUUGAGACAAUAUGCAGGAUCAAGCUGUUUCGACGAUUCGACUUUGUCUCUCUGAUGAUAUUACCAAUCAAGUGAUGAACAUCACGACUUGCAAGAAGAUGUGGGAUAAAUUAGAGAAUGUACAUGUCGAAGUCGUUGUCCAGCUUGCUGUAUCUGAAGCAGAAGUCUUCUUCUAGUUUCAAAUUCAUAAACUAGAAGACCAUUGUUUGAUAUUCCAGUCAAGAAUUUGCAGCUGCAGAGAUAAGGUCCUUCAAUCGUUUCAAUGUUUCAGGAUGAACAUCAAGAUUAACAUUGCAAUGUUUCAAGAUAGGGGUGACGAUUCUGCCAAUGCGUAUAACUAGAUUUUCCCUACUCUUGUUUGUGGACACCCAGAAGUUACAAACCAAAUUCUUAUACGCUACUAAGUUCUAACAUAUUUUAUAUGAGAUUUUAUAAAUAGAAUUACAUGAAUUAAAGUAAAAUACAGAAAUUAUGCAGCAAAAAAAUUAAAAUGUUAGUAUCAACAUUUUAAGAAAAAGAUAACUAAUUGCACAAAAAUUGACCACUAAAGGAAAAAAAAUAGGUAAAAAUAUGUAUUGAACACUAUCCAAACAAUGACCACAAAUAAUUCAGCUAACCACAGACACUUGAAAAUUAAAAUACAGAGCUGUUUUCUCUUGUUACUAUUACGUUUGCUCUAUUUAAGCCAAAUUGUUUCUGUUUUAGUUUUACAUCAUUUAGUAUAAAUUCUCUUUUAUAAUUUCGAAUAUGUUUUUAAGAAAAUAUCCAUAAUUUUUGUUUGAUAUUGCAUAAUUUUUUUUAUUGGGAUGUAAGAAAUAGAAAAAGAUAUAGAAAAAUGUUAAACAGAGACGCAAUGUUUUCAAAAAAUUUUAAAAAAGCUUGAGCUAAUUCCUGAGCUCUUGCUUUGAUCUCACCGAUAUGACUUGUAUUCGGAGAGUUUGAGUUAUCUGACAAAUCAGAACCUGUGUGGAAAAGAUUGGUACUCAUCUCCCUUAUUCUAAGUAACAUAUGGAAGUAGAAGCGAUGAAAGGAUUUUCUUCUAAGUAAAGGGAUAGGAAAUUUUUUGUGAUCCCACUAUUUUACUACGAAAGAAAUGAUCUCACACAGGUUGGAAACGAGGGGUAGAAAAAAUUUCACGUGACGCCAUUAUUAAUUCCCCUACAUCUUUGAUAAAACAAAAAAAGGAAGAAAAAAAAGAGAUGACAAAUGAAUAAGUCUGGGGAGUAAAAAGUACCAAUGGUUAUAUGGUUGGUUUGUCAUGGUAUUGUAUGAGAAUGAGUCUAGAAGGUUCUUGACAUUAAGAUCGUCGAUGAGACCCAACGGUGAUGGCUUUUGGAUUAUUAUGUGAAACUAUGGGUUGAAUCUGGGAGGCUGUGAUGCUUGCGGAAAACUUCAUGGUGGUGAUCUGGGAUUGAUUUUUGUAGCAUGUUAAUCACUAAGUUGAAGGGUCUUUGCAGUGUUCUAGAGAGAAGGUGAGUCUUCGUGUUUUCAAAUUUCUUUUUUGUGCUUGGUUUUCUGUUUGUUUGAAAGGCAAGCAAAACCUUUAAGUCCAAGAUAGUUGAUGUGUUGCAUUCUAUCCCAAGUUUUCAAGUUUUUUCGAGUCUUUUAGGUUUGUUAGAGUCAAUUCAGGUCAAACAGCAUUAUAAGACAGAGUUUGAAGACUUAGGAGCGGAAUACGGCGAAAAAGCAGGAAAAAGAAAAAAAAGCGACCGAUGUCAAUCAUACAAACAAAAAGAAAAACUAAUUUAACUAGUACUUGCCUUUUCUGUUUUUGUUUUUGAUGCAAGGCUUGCCAUCUUAAAAAUCGCAUAACAAGACAUUCUUCUUAAACCCUUUUUUCCUUAAUCGGUUAAUAUCUCUUUGCUGUUGGAGAAAAAGAGAAUAUAACCAUCGAAAUAUUAUAUUUGUAAACGCUUUGAAUCGAUAAUGCUUAUUUAACCUUUUUCUCUUUUUGGGUUUGUAUUGUCUCCUCCAGCCCAACAACCUCGAGUUGCCACCGGAUACUAUGUACGGCGGACAUAAUUGGACAGUGUCCGAACGUGUUAAGAGCACCAGGUGGUUGCAACAACCCGUGCACCGUUUUUCAGACGAACCAGUACUGUUGUACGAAUGGGCAAGGAUCAUGUAGCGACACAGAAUAUUCAAGGUUCUUCAAACAGAGGUGUCCGGAUGCCUACAGUUAUCCACAAGACGACCCGCCCAGCACUUUCACUUGCACUAACACUAACUACAGGGUCGUGUUUUGUCCUAGGAUUAGACUCGAUACUACUGGGAGCAUAUAUAUAUUAAGAGACUCGUCUCUAUUGUAUGUGAUGUGUGUAUGAGCGUGUACUAGUGUGUACGUAGUAACGUAGAUAUAUAUGCGUACGCGUGUGAUAAUGUUUACGUGACUAUCAAACUUGAUGGAUAAUAAUGAAUGCAAGAAUAAGUUGGACUUUUGCUAACGGUUAAUUAGGGAUAAAACUCUCAGUUUGAUUAGGAUUUUAAAUGGCAGUAGCUUUUAGUUUUUGUUGUAGGAUUUUAAAUAUUAAAACUCGAGUAAUAGAGAUGUUUUUUGGUGUAGAGAGUAAAAAUUUGAUUGAUCAAACUAGCAUAACAUUAGCAAAAAACGUUAAAUCAAUAAGAAAUUAUUUUUUUUUCCAGAUUUUUUUGUUUGGUGUAGAGAUAGUAAAGAAUAGAUAGAACAAGCUAGCAAAAUAUUAGCGAAAAAUGCUCUAAAGAUAAGACAAACUUCUUUUUAAUUUCUUACUAUGUUUCUCGAAGUUAAUAUGAAGUUGUUUUUCCAAUCCUCUUUUUCCGAAAUGAAAUCUUUACAAUUUUUGUCUUUUUGGGUAGAGAUUGUUAAGAUAUCAGCAAAAUGAAGUUAAAAAGAAGAAUUUUCGGAUUACCAAUAAUAGCUUUUGUUUGAGAUUUAAAGAUAACAUCUCAAUUUUUGUUAGGUAGAAUUUGCAUGGAAGCCUAAUGAGCUCAUUAAUUAGGUGUGCUCUCUCCCUUGUCGUGAAUGUGAAUAUGUGAUUGGUGUCAGAUUGCGAGUAGAUUCAAUUCGUGCGAAGGUAUACGAAAAUAUACAUAGAUAAAAAAAUCCCUACUUUAAUAAUGGAGUUGAUUGACUAAGGUAUACGAAAAUAUACAUAGUAAAAAAAAUCCCUACUUUAAUAAUGGAGUUGAUUGACUAAUAAUAGAUUCUUACUCGGUUCAAUUUUUUAUUGCGUGCGAAAAACUAUGUAGACCGAUUCGUGCAGCUAGGAGAAAAACCCGUUGAGUAAAACUAAUUAUUUUGGCGUCGUUAUCGCUGUAGAUUUGUAGAACCUUAGACGUCUUUGACUUGAGUUUAACUUUUUUGAUAUGCAUGAUUGCAUGGGUCUCCAAAUAAUCAAUCAAAAACUAGGCAUAUAAGCAUAAUUCCAUUAUAUAACAAACACAUUUUUAAAAAUCACAGAAGUACAGUUGUAUGGUAUAAACUUGAAUUUUUGAAAGCAUUUAUGAAAAAAAAAGAGAGAUAUAAAGCUGGAAAGUAGAAGAGCGUUUUCUCAUUCUUCAAAAACGUUAAUACAUUUCCAUAUAUACAUGUGCUAAACUGUUAAACCUAGUUAUACAAGAUAACUAAAUUUAUGCAUAAUUAAUAGCCCAAUAAAAUAUUGUAUGGCCCAAUAUUAUGAUACUCUACCCCUUUACAAGUUGGAGCAUGCAUGUAGAUUAAAUAUGUCCAACUUGCAUAGAAACCAAUCAAAUUCCUAGCCCAAUUAAUGUUUUGAGAAUAUAUCAGCUAAAUGAAGAAGAGAGGGAACAAUAAUUACCUAAUACACUUUUACUAUAUAAGAUCAUAUCACUGAAAGCUAUCAAGGAGACAAUACCACCAAUUUCCAAGUAAACAAACUGACAAGAACUGUAGUAUAGUUGAAGUAAGCGAGAAGUUCAUAUACCCGCUUCCAACCUGAAUGGAUAAUAUGUGAUUAUAUCACAUUUCAAUAAUCUAGAUUUAAAUUAUCUAUAAGAUUUUAAAAUGUAAAAUUGAUUUUUGGUCCAAUUUUAUUAUUCAUUGUUAUACUAAAUCUAAAACUUGAUCCAAGUCUAGAGUCUCUGUAAAAGCAUCCUAUAAUCUCAUCAUCCUUUUAGUUAAUGUGUUAUUCAUAUAUAGUUUUUCAUAGUUUGAAGGUGAAUUUUACUUUCUUUAGUUUCUUUUUUCUUAUAGAUAUUAUAGUAUUGGAAUAGUCCUAAGCAUAUUUUCAUUCUUUACGACAACAAAAUCAGGUAUUUCCAUGAUUAAACAAUUUCUGAAAAUAUGACUGAUUGAAAAAGACAUGCGCCAAAAUUUAGUUUAUGAUUAUUUGUAUUGAAAAUCAAAAUGAAAACAAAUUUUAAAAAACCAAAUUUGGAUCUAUGAAAUUAUUUGAAAAUACCAUGAAAUUUGUUUAAGGGAUAAAUUCCAAAUAUUCAUUCAUCCAACUUGUUAUUAAUGAACUCGGUUACCCAAAAAUUCCGAUGCACAUAUAAGAUGAAUCAUAGAUCGGAUACUUCGAAUAAUUAAGUAAGCAUAUCCCUAAAAUGUUAAGUAAGACAAAUUAACUAUAUCCUACUCUCAAAUAUUGGAAAAUUGGUACUCCUGGUCUCCGUAGCGAAUGCGAAUGAUGCUCAAUUGCUCAUCCAAAUUGAUAAAUUAAAAAAAUUGAAAUGCAACAAACGGUUGAUCGCAGUGCUAUUGUAAUUGGAGAUGGUCUUCAUUAGGUGCAUGAUGUGCCUUUGCUACACUAAUUCGAUUAUGGUCCAUGGCGAGAUAUUUUUGGAUGCUUUGACAACUUUGUGAAAAUUUGUCGUCUAUCAUUGUUUUGCUAUUUAUUUAAGUCAUUGCCUUUGUGAAGUCAAGUCUUCGUUUCUCAUUAAUCAUCAUGAGAUCCAUGAACCUAGCUUUUCCACUUGUUUGAAUCAGACAAAAGCUAAGCAAAAACAAGUUGGGUUAGGAUAAAAUAAGGGUUUUGUCUGGGAGACUUGUAAAGGGGAAGCAGUCCGACGUAGGAAGAAAUCCUCUGUCAUUUUAGGGUUUAGUCGAAGAAAAAUAACUAAAUAUAUAGUUUCCAAUGAUUGAAUUAUGUUUUUAAUGGCAUUUUUGUAGUUUAAAAAAGACUAGGCUUUGUUCAGAGUUUUUCUACUGGGGUUUUAAAUAAGAUUGUUUCAAAUUCUAUGUGAAUACCCUCAGAUGCAAUAGAUUAUAAACCUAUUAACAAUUUUAGCAAUAGAUUUUCUUUUUUCUUAAGGUCAACUUGGUAAGUCAAUACAGAGAAAAAAGAAAAGAAAUGAGACAAAUAUGGAAAUGAGGAGUAAGGAAAAUAGAAAAAUUCAUUAAAAAAAAAUUAGAAGUCUAAAACAUGAAAAAGUACCAUCGAGUCUAAUUAUAUGGGAUAUUUGAUCAAGUCUAAACCACUAGAUUACACUAAUUUGAAAAAUCUUAGGUAAACCAUUUAUUAACUCCAAUUUUAUUUUUCUGGUACCACAAACAAUUACAUCCUCAAAACUGUAUGAAAUUCGAUUACUUGUUUGCCAAGAAUAUAUAUUAAAAAGUAGACAUGUAAUAAAGAUUUUGGUCACCCAACUUGGAGGCAAAAGCCUACCAGUAAGUUGUAACAGUUAAGGAGUUAUGUAUUGGUUAAUUUGUUACUUUUUAAUUAAUAUUUUGCAUUUUUGAAGUUACGUAAUAAUAAAUGCUAUUUCGCUUUUUUCAUUAAAAAAAACAAUGGAUGGGACGACAGGCGACUUGACUAUGUUACUAACGGAAAGUCUUGUUUCUAGAUAUGUACUAUGUAGACAUUAUAAUGUUAACGUAAGAAAAAAUUAAGUACGUAUAGGGGGACUUAAGAAGAAUAUAGAAAUGUGUGUACAUUUUUUCCUUUUCUGCUAACAAAGAAGUUACAUAUCUAUACAUAAGCUUCAUUAUUGUGAAAGCUUUUUUGGCCUAAUGGAGUUUAUUAAUGUUUUUAAGUUUCCAAACUAAAUAAAUAUGAUUUAUUAUCAGUUCUGCAGAUUAAUGGAGAAAAACGUAUGAAAAAACUUCAAUAUGGUGUAAGUGGAACUAUUUAGCGUAGAGGUUCAUAAUCAUCAGUAUAGCAAUUCUCGUUAUAAUAAUAAGAUAAUAAUUUAAUGAUAAAAAAGCUCUUAUUAUUUUAUUUUAUUUUUAUUUUUAGUACAACUCCUAUUAUUUUUUGUUUGGGAUCAGCCUCUAAUAGUACUCUUUGGAGGUAAAUCAUCAUUUACAAAACAGAUCGAACUUAAUAGGGAAACAAAGUUGAAAUUUCUUUGGAAGGACGAAUUUACUGCCACUAGCCGACUUCCUAGUUGGUGAAGACUAAAGACUAGGUGUGAACAUUUAAAGGCCCACAUUUAAAUGAAUUAUGUGAUAUAAUUUCAAAGACGACCCAAAGAAUUAUGCCUUUCAAGUUUCAACUAUUACUUAGCAAAUAUACAAAUGAUGUACAACUUGAAUGUCCACAUCCAUUUAGGCAGACGUCAGUACGAACAGAUUUUGUGGCAAUCCAGAUUUACCAAUAAAAAUAUCUCCAGUUCUUCAUAGUACAUAUCUAGAAACAAGACUUUUCGUUAGUAACAUAGUCAAGUCGCCCCAUCCAUUCUUUAACCAAAAAAAGUCGCCCCAUCUAUCAUUUUAUAUUUAUAAAAAUGAUUAAAGCAAAAUAACAUUUAUUAUCAUAUAACUUCAAUCAUUCAAACUACUAAUAAAAAAAUAAAACAAACUUACCAAUACAUAACUCAUAAAAAGGAACCGUUUUUUUCUCCUAACAAACAUAUUGUUUUUUUUACAAAAAAACCUUUUUUAAAAAAGAUUUAGAACUGUCUCUUUUUCGGUUGAUUAAAUCAUCUGAAAAUUUACUAUUUGCAAUAAAAGUGAGGGAAAAAGAAUUCUAUUCACUUUGUUGAAGGAAAAUAAUCCUCUACUAGAUCAUAUUCUUGUAAUUAAUUGUAGAGGAACAUGUGGAGUAAAGAAAAUCGUCUCGUAGAAGUACUAGAACUAUCAUAAACAUUUAAAAAUAUAAUGGACUCUGACAUUCGUUUACAGAAUGGAAAACUUUGGUCAUAAAAUAGCCUUUAAUUAUUAAACACUGAUUACGUGGAUUAAAUAACGGUAAAUAACUAAAAAAAGAAAGAAAAAAAGAGGAGGGACUUAAAGAAAAAUGAGUGUAGUCACUAGUCAGAAAGAAAUUAUACUUCAGUCAUUUGAUGAUAUAUCUAGUAAAUAUAAUCAAAUUAUGUAAAUUUUAAUAGGGUGGUACGCCAGGACCGCCAUUGGCUACCUCUAUAUAAAGCUAUAGUGUAUGUUUACAAAAGAUCACACACACAAGUAGUAAAACAAAACAAAAAAUGGCAAACAUUAUCUCACUCUCGGCGUUCAUCAUCUCCAUCUUUUUCCUCAUCUCCACCGCUAAAGCCGUCAGAUUCGACAUCCUGAACCAAUGUGGUUACACCGUUUGGGCCGCCGCCAGCCCUGGAGGUGGCCGGCGUCUAGAUCCUGGCCAGUCAUGGCCACUAGAUGUUGCGGCUGGCACACGUAUGGCACGUAUUUGGGGUCGGACAAAAUGUAAUUUUGACUCUUCGGGACGUGGCCGAUGCGAAACCGGUGAUUGCACUGGUGGACUUCAAUGCACCGGUUGGGGCCAGCCACCAAACACGUUGGCUGAGUACGCUUUGAACCAAUUUAACAACAUGGACUUCUACG
rnacentral:lncRNA from 1 species